UUUUUUGCACUCUUUCUUGCUUUGUUUCUGCUUUUCAUGACGAGGGUCUUCCUAUGGAAAUAUUUUGGAUGCACUUCUGCUUCUUUUCUUGAUAUAAAAGUCCACAUUUUCGGUUAAUUAGGCUUUGUGCAUGAUGAUAGAUUGACAGUCAGUUGUUUGCGGGUGUGGCAUCUUCAAGAUUCACAUGGAAAAGCACGGUUGGUGAUGCAAAAUCUCUCUGCCAAAGCUCUUUGAAAGUGAGAAUCUUGAUGAUGCUGCAUCGGCAAGAAACGACUCUACAAAAGUGGAUUUUCUCCCACCAAUCAGAUCGAGCUGCCAUUCAACAGAUCUGUGAAUAUUCUUCUGCAAAAAUUUGUUAUGGUGGGAAAUAGUAUCUUUUCAGGUGCUUCUUGUUGGAGAUGGAGAAGGGGUUUUAUUAUUUUAUUGCUGGAAAUUAAGAGAAAGAGAAUGUUGAUGAUGCUAUAGCUGCAUGAGCUUUAAAAUAUAUAUUCUGGAAAGAAAGGCAAAGAAACAGUAACAGGUGGAAUGUGGAACUAAUUGCUCGAGUUGUCUACGAAUGGAUUGGCAAAUGUGAACAGAAACUGAGAUGAAAGGUAAGCAAAAGGAAACUUUCACGUUCGGUUUUUUUCAGGGGUUUGAUAAUCUCAGCGAUCAUCAUCAAUUAUAGCAUACUGGAAUUUUGGUUUUUCCUUCCGACCAUCUUUUUUUCUGCCCUGCUUGAUUCAACAUAUACAUAUGAUAAUUGAAAAUUGGAUUAAUAAAGAGUUUGGAUACGAAAAUAAUGGCGUGAACAUAUUGCCCCUGCCAUUGUUGCAUGUCUUUCUUCAGCAUUAAUCACCCAUUACUGAUCUUGAUGGUAGACCAACCUAACGAUCGAGAGACCUCUUGCAACUUGGACCAUAAAUCUGGCCUGUACU